ACCUCAUAACUUUAAAGAUGGAAAUCAGUCUAUUGAGAAGAGAAGAGUCCAGAAGGAGAGAGCAGACUCCCCUGGACCCAGCUGUGUCUCCAUGAAGAGUGAUUGUUCUAUGGAUCCACCUGCUAUGUUUAAAGAUGGAAAUCAGUCUAUUGAGAAAAGAAGAGUCCAGCAGGAGAGAGCAGACUCCCCUGGACCAAGCUGUGUCUCC